rnacentral:misc_RNA from 1 species
AAAAAGUUCAAAUUUUUGAAGAGUUGUUUAGAUGAAAAAAUAGUAAAGACCGAGUUCAUACAAUAUUUAGAGUGCAUGACCUAUCAAAAAACAUUCAAAUCGAAAAUCAACUUAGAAAAAUUUAAUCCAACAAAAGGUUUUGGGACAAUUUAGAGUUUGAGUAACUUAAAUGUUUAAAUAGAUCAGUACCAUCAACAUUCCUUGAGUUCAAUGAUUCUUUUGAAUAGGAAAAGGUAUUACAAGAUCAAAA